rnacentral:rRNA from 1 species
GUGAGGAAUUUUGCGCAAUGGGGGCAACCCUGACGCAGCGACGCCGCGUGGAGGACGAAGUCUUUCGGGAUGUAAACUCCUGUCAGUGGGGACGAUAAUGACGGUACCCACAGAGGAAGCACCGGCUAACUCCGUGCCAGCAGCCGCGGUAAGACGGAGGGUGCAAGCGUUGUUCGGAAUUACUGGGCGUAAAGCGUAUGUAGGCGGCAAGUUAAGUUCAAUGUUAAAGCCCACGGCUCAACCGAGGAGAUGCAUUGAAUACUGGCUAGCUAGAGGGUGUUAGAGGAAGACGGAAUUCCCAGGGUAGCGGUGAAAUGCGUAGAUAUUGGGAGGAACAUCGGUAGCGAAAGCGGUCUUCUGGGACAUACCUGACGCUGAGGUACGAAAGCGUGGGGAGCAAACGGGAUUAGAUACCCGGGUAGUCC